UUUAGUCAACAGAUAUUUGCUGCGUUUCUUCCAGCAGCCUUGACUGGCCCGUGAUCCUCCAGCCGCUGCAGGUGGCUGGGCAUGAAGGAAUCCAUGAUCAUUAAUCCAGUGGGCUCAUGGCUGCUGGUGGUGACACAGUUGUACCAGCAGGUGCAGGACGGGGGCUGUUACUGUGGAGCCCCACGGAGCUGGGAAGGGAGGAGACAGCGAGAGAGACUCAGGACAGCUUCUCCACAGCAGGAACUUCCUAAUCUGCCUUGUUUUAAAUGAGCCACGAAUGUGCUCCGGGACCCAAGUCAGCAUCUGUUUUGCUUUUUAAAUCAACCAACAGGAAAAAAAAAAAAAAUCUAGAUGCUCAGACCACAUUGAAGUACGGAGCCCACGCCCGGCCAGCCGUCUCGACCCGGGUACCCUGCUUACCCAAGUUGCCACUAAAAGUAGGGGCCAUGGUUACCCCCAUUUUGCAGAUGAAGAAACUGAGUCCUGGAAGGAGAGAGGAGCCUCCGGUUUGCAAAGGAAGAGGAUUAUGAGGGCGAAUUUCAAGGCUCCAGGAAGCACAUGAGGUGGCUCAGGAGGCUGUGUUCAGGGAAGGCUUCGCUAAGGAAGCCACAGUUAACACUGGGAAAAAAGUACAAGUCCCAGGAGGACGAGGAAGAUGAAGCUCAAUGUCUUAUGGAAAACCCAGUUUGGCCCCUGAGGAGGGUUGGGGCUGGAGGACCUGGCUGGGGGCAGACUGUGCAGAGCCUUGGUAGGUUCCAGCUUUGGCUCAGCAUCUCGUCCCACCCUGUCUGUAUCCAGCCAGCGUUCAAGAUUCAGAUCCGUCGGCUUCCCUGACGCCUCUUGCUGAGACUGAACUUGUUCCUACCCCUAAGCUCCUGAAAGUAGUUGGCUCUCUGUAUCUGUGGGUUCUGCAUCCACGGGUUCAGCCAGCCAUGGAUAAAGCAUCUUUGAAAAAAAAUUGAGCGUGUUCUGAACAUGUACAGAAUUCUUUCUUGUCAUCAGCCCCUGAAUAAGACAGUUGACAACGGUUUGCAGAGUUCUGAGGUCGCGUUAAUUAUUAUAAACCAUCUAGAGAGUAUCUCAAGUGCGUAGGUUCUGUGUAAAUCCUGUGCCACUCUGAGGUGGGACCUGAACAUCAUCAGAGCUUGGUAUCCAUAGGGGGUCCUGGAACCAAUCCCUUAGGGACAUUGAGGGAUGACUGCCCAUUCUUUGCUUUAUCUGAGGGGGGCGUACCAGGGAUUGAACUCAGGGGCACUCAACCCCCGAGCCCCAUCCCCAGCCCUAUUUUGUGUUUUAUUUAGAGACAGGGUCUCACUGAGUUGCUUACGGCCUCACUAAAUUGCUGAGGCUGCCUUUGAACUCGCGAUCCUCCAGCCUCAGCCUCCCGCUGGGACUACAGGUGUGUGCCACCGUGCCCGGCUGCUCUUUCUUUUUGGUGCAUUUCAUUUGCCCUCCUAAUUUCAUAGCUCCUUAUUAAUAUUCUCUCCAACAGAACUGUGGGUUCCUUGGGAGAAGACGCCAGAGUUGGUUCUGUUGGUGCCUUCGUAACAUCUGUCACGUGGAGGGGGACAAUAUACACUUCAGGAGAUGCUCCUGACCACGUACCAGUCUACAAUGGGGAGGAUUCUCUGUCUCCCUGCCGCUGAGCUGCGGUUCACUAUGGAACUCUGACCACCCUGCACCUGUCCCAGAAACCAUCCCUGCCAAUGUGGCCUUCCCUCUUAGCAAAAUCCAGAAACCCGGAGGCACCUCCAGUCUUGCAGAGAGAUCACCAGACACGCCGGUGUUUGAGUUAAAGCUACCGAUGGCAUAAAAUUCCAAGGUAGGCAGAAAUAACCUUCUAUCAAGAUUGAGCCCCGCAAGAAAUUUCCUCCGCAGAGUUUGAGAACAGGAAUGUAGAAGGGAAGAUGCCACCAA